GGGCUCGUAGCUCAGUAGGUAGAGCGCCCGGCUCAUAACCGGGUGGUCGGGGGUUCGAAGCCUCCCGAGCCCA
rnacentral:tRNA from 1 species